AAAGUAAUGUGAUCUCUCCAGCUUUUUAGUAUAGUCAUCUAGUGCUAUGAACUUGCUUCUUAGAACCACCUUUAUUGUGUUCUGUAAGUUUGGGUAUGUUGUGUACUCAUUUUCAUUAGAUUCUAGAAAUUCUUUAAUUCCUUUCUUUAUUUUGGGCUUGACUGAUUUUUUUUUAUUCAGUGGUGAGUUGUUCAGUUUCCAUGAGUUUGUAAACUUCUCUGUUGUUGAUAUGUAGCUUUAAUCCAUAAUGGUGUGAUAGGGUGCAGGAGGUUAUUUGAAUUUUCUUGUAUCUUUUGAGACUUGCUUUGUAUUUGAGUAUGUGGUCAAUUUUAGAUAAAGUUCCAUGAGGUACUGAGAAGAAGGUUGUGUGUGUGUGUGUGUGUGUGUGUGUGUGUGUGUGUGUGUGUGUGUGUGUUUCAGUGAAAUUUUCUGUAAGUACCUGUUAGGUCCAUUUGUUUUAUGAAAUCAGCUCCAGAAUUUCUUGGCUUAGUUUUGUCUAUUGGCAAGAGAGCAGUGCUGAAUUUUCCCACUAUCAGUGUAUAAGGGUCAAUAUGUGAUUUAAGCUGUAGUAGUGUUUCUUUUACAAAACUGAGUGACUGUCUGUUGAGUGCAAAUAUGUUAAGGAUAGUAAUGUCCUUUUGGUAAAUUUUUCCUUUGAUGAGUACAUAGUGUCCUUCCCUAUCUCUUCUGAUUAGCUUUAGUUUUAAGUCUAUUUUUAGGAUAUUAAAACAUCUAAGAUAUUAAUUUUUUCUUUGACUGAGAUAUCCAUUUCUUGUAUCUUGUCUAUAGUGCUUGAGAUUAUCUCUUCCAUUUCCUUUAUUUUGGUGGUGAGACUUCCCUCUAAGGUUCCUUUUCAAGUUCCUAAACAUUUCAUUUUUAAAUUUCCCUAAGUUAGUUUUUUUAUUGAUUCUAUUUCCACUUUUAAGUCUUGAACAUUUUCAUUCAUUUCCUUCCAGUUCUUGCUUAUGUUUUUGUACACUUCUUUAAGGGAUUUAUUAAUUUAUUCUUUAAAGACCUCUAUGAUAUCCAUCAAGACUCUUUUAAAAUCUUUACAUUGUGUUUCAGAUAUGUUGUAUUAUUAUGAUCUUGCAGUGGUAAGGUUGCUGGGCUGUAGUGGAGACACAAUGUCCCAGCUGUGUUUGAUUAUAUUUUUACACUGGUGUCUAUACAUCUGUGAUUGGGAUUGGUAUAAUUCUAGGUACUGGUAUAUGUUCUUGUUCUGAGGGUGUUUUGUUCCUUGCUUUCUCUUUCAUAUCUGAUACUUUGGCGAGUGUAAUGGCUGUGUGCUAUAGGAGUUCUGGAAUCCUUAUAUUAAUGGGCACUGGGUUUUCCCAGUAGAAUGUGUAUCUGGAUAUUGGGAGCUGACACUUGGGAAUGGAGUUGGGUUGGGAUCUGAGAGAUUUCACAGGAAGGAGGAAAUCAGUAUGUUCCACCAAGCAGAGAGUGUGGAGAGGCCACAGUAGAAGGUCAGCUACAGAGGUGAGGAUGAGAUUGGGAGACUGGAUUUGAAGGAAUGAAUGGAGAGGUGAAGAUCUUCAAUUAGUCUACUUGCUUCCCUGGUCAGGGUAGCCUGUGGAUUCCCAGUUGUUCUGCAGGUCAGAAGAAAGUCACAAAGGAUGGAGAUGGGGUGGAAGAAAAGGCUGAAAGGUGCAUCUGGAUGGAACUAGAGUGAUCCUGGGUCCCCACCAGAAGGCUGAGUGUGGCUCACAAAGGCAGGCUGCAGUGUGACUAAGGGUGAUGGAUGAUGUUUGGUUAGGACUCUGAGAAUGAUCCCUCCCGUGUCCUGAACCUUCUGGCCUGGCAUCUACUGAAAACUCAGCCUUCUCAGCAGUGAUGACCAUGUGAAACUUCUCCUCUUUCUGUUAAGAAUAGAGUGAACAGCAACAGUGCUCAGAGCUGCAGACUCAAGGCAAUCUCUCCCCAGAACUGUGGCCUUUCUUUCCCCCCCCCCCCACAGAUAGCUCAGCUUCCACAUGAGACAGUGACCAGGGUGACUAAGUUGACAAGAACUGAUUAUCUAAGGUAUUUGGAUUUGUAUGUAUAAAGGUUUAGGUUUGUGACUACUUUAUAAUUUGCCCUCUGUCUUAGAUAGGCUGUCUAUUGCUGUGAUAAAACACAUGGCCAAAUCAACUUAGGGAAGAAAGGGUUUAUUUCUUUUUACAACUCUCAGGUCACACUCCCUCACUGAAGGAAGACAGAGCAGGAACUCAAACAGGAACCCGGAGGCAGCAACUGAAGCAGAAGCUAUAAAGAAAUGCUGUUACUGCUGACCUGAACAUCGGGGAACUCUUGCUCCCCAGGCUGAUAGCUGAAAUACCAGCAUGAGACUGAUCCAGAACCCAGGAACAUGGGUUUCUAUGAGGAAACCUCAGAAAUCUACGGAACCUUCUGUAGGAGUUCAGUACUUAUCCCUAGCAUAGGUGUGGACUUUGGGAGCCCAUUCCACAUAGAGGAAUACUCCCUGAGCCAAGACACACGGGGUUGGGCCUAGGCCCUAUCCCAAAGGAUACAAUAGACUCUGAUGACACCCUAUGGAAGGCCUCACCAUCUAGGGGGAGCAGAAAGGAUAUGUGAUAGAUAGGGUUUUAGUUGGAGGCAGGAGUGGUAGGAGAGGACAGGAGGGUGAAGGGAACUGGAAUUGUCAUGUAAAACAAUCUUGUUUCUAAUUCAAAUAAAAAACGUUG
rnacentral:lncRNA from 1 species